UGUUCGACGUGUCUGCCUCCUGCUGAGUCAGGGUGAAAAUCCGUGCUGGGGCUGACGGCCCUGCACCUCGGGAACCCAUCCCUGAUGAAGAGGCUACCCCUCUUCCUCUUCCUCUGCCACUGCUUGGUGGUACGGCUGAAGCUACGGGCUGAACCACACUGCCCGUACUCAUCUGCUGGGAUGGUGCAACUAAAGUCGCCUGAGGACAUUCCCGUGCAUAAUGUCCUUCCUGCCCACAUCUAUAGCAGGCUGUGGAUCCCAACUGACAAGCUCCUCUAUGCUGUUUGCCACACCUCUUGCACACUGGAAAAUCUGCGCCAGAACUGGAGCCACUACUCAUUCCCAGACCCGACUUAAGCCUGUUCCAGAACUUGCCUCUCUUUCCUCUGAAUUUCUCCCAUCUCUUCUUACUUGCACUUACUG
rnacentral:lncRNA from 1 species